rnacentral:lncRNA from 1 species
UACUGUUAUAGUGAACAGUAGUUAUUUCUGUGAAUGUGGCCUGGGGUUGUGGUGGAGGAAGACUCUUUUUUUUUUUUUUUUUUUUAAUUUAACAUUUUUACAAGUUUGUAUCUAGUUAGCUAAAACAGGUGCCUACCAGCCUUAAUUUCUCCAGUCUUUCUUGAGACCAAACCCAGAAAGUCCUUCAGCCUCCAUGAUGAUUGGUCUAAGUGAAUGAGAGUGUUUGCUGUUGAUGUGCACUUUUCUCUUUGGUCCUCUUUCUCUAGCAUGAUUUUACUGCUUCAGUCAUCACACUCUCCAAUCCGCUCUCAUGAUCUUCCUACUUUAUUCUCGGAGAACAUUUUGGUAAUUGUCCCAGAGAAGCCCUAGUGAGGAUUAUCGUGUUAAAAGUGACAUGCUAAUGUCAUGCUUGUGUGGAUUUCCUUCAGCAGAUGAGCCAGCUCCCUUGUGAAGCUGUAAGAACAUGGUACUUACAGGAGUAAGGCUCAUGAAGUGGAGAGAUGAGAAGACUUUCGGGACAGAUUGUGUGGAGGCUGUCAUUCUCCUCGUGACAUUGCUGUGGGAGAAGAAGGAGGCAUUCCAUGUUGGCUUCAGUGAAGAACUUCAGAGAAGGAUGGAGCAAAUGCCCCAGAUGAAGCCUACACGACAUGAGUCAGAGAACUUUGGCCAGGAUGUCUGGGGAAAAAGUUUCCUCUUUCUUCUCUGGGAACUAUCUGGAGAGGGUUGUUUUAACGCUGGAUGUGAACAGCGACUCGUGUAGCCCCAGAAGCCUCUGACAGCCGCGUUGGAAUCAUAAGUUCUCAAAAUGAAGGUUGUGGUCUAGAAAGCAUAUUGUGAUUUGUACAAGAAGCACAUUCCCAUUUUACAAAAGUACAAAAGCACAUUUUGGACUUUUAACAAAUUCAACUGUUUUGUGUUCUGUGUGAGUAAAUUUUAGGUUGCCCAUCAUUGAAAACCAGUUUAAAAAAAAAUAAUGGGAGUAGAUAAUCCAGACAACAUUUUCUACCGUAUUUGUUGACUCCAGUUGUUGGAAAGUAAAAUUCUGGAGGAAGAGCUGGGAUAUCUCCAGGGGCUUAGUUUAACAUCAUCAAAGACUCUCCUGCUCCCCCUUUGCAUGUUACAGUAUCUGCUUUACCAAUCAGAGGGAAAUUUAUCAUGUAGGAUUUAAAGGAGAUAUUUAUGGCGUCCGUAAGCACAAUGACUUUGACUGGUAAGACGUCAGCUAUUCCCUUUAGGAGAUAAAAGGCCACAGCUGGUGAGGUAAUAGAACAGGAACUGUUUCAAUAUUUCAAAACAGAAGACCUUGUUGAAGAAGAGAGAUUUUAUAUGGCAUUUGCUUUUAUUUUUUUCCUUCUAUGAUGAACAGGUGUGGGAGUCAAUUCAAGAAGGCAGCUUAGAUGAUUGUGAGACAAGGGAGGGAGGUAAAUAUUUUUGAUGGUUGGGGAAGGACUGAGAUUUUCAAACUUCAAACCAAACAUGUAGUCCAAGCCUUUUCUACCUGUGUACACAAAGGAAAGAGGAAACUAAGUCAAUGUAAAAUAGGCAGUUGUUGUUUGGAAAAGUUAUGAAAUCCUCCUGGCUACACAAAACAGAAAGCCCAGCUAUGUGACAAGUGUUUGAUGUAAAUAUGCAAAUGCAGUUUUAAAUUCAUUAUACCUAAGGGAACAAGGUGUCUGGGUAAGGGGGGUUCUACUGUUUCUUAAGCUUACAAAGCAGGUCCUUGAAUAAUGUCAUUUAAGUUCAAUGUAAUUUCCUUAUAAUGUUGAUGAGAAAAAAAAAAUGGAUUCCUAGCUGAAGUCAUUGUGUGUGUGGACUUUGCAUGUCCUCCCCAUGUCUGGUUUCCUCCCAAAACCCAAAGCUGUGUCCGUUAGAUGAAUCAGUGUGUCUCACUGGUCCCAGCGUGAGUGAGUGUUGCUAUGUAUGAGUGGGCCCUGCAAUGGGAAUGGUGACCUGUCUGGGGCUGGUUCCAGCCUGGUACCCUGAGCUACCAGAAGUGGCUCUGGCCCCUUGAGCUUCUGAACUUGAAUAAGUGGGUAAAUUAUUAUCUUACUUGUUUUUGUUAACCUUUCUUAAGUGUAUGUGUAGCUCACCUUCCUUUCAAAGUUAUUUUGAUGUUUAUUUCAAUAUUAGAAGUGUUUGGGUCUUUCUUUAGAAGUUUGGUGAUUUUUUUUUUUGUGACCAAAAUAUGCUGUAGCAACUUAACUCUUGUUUAGAUCGGUUAGCUUAUAGCAAAGCUAUUUUCGUUAUGUGUUCUUUCACUUGAAGUUCCAGUUUCCAAGAACCUAUUGUCCAAGAUAAGUAAGGACUUACUGUACUUCUGGGCACACAAUGGGCUAAGCAUCUUAUAUUAUCAAAUGAGAUGAAAUAAAAUAUAAUGCUAAAAUGAUGUUAAAAAGUUAUCACAUUAUAACAAAUUAUAAGAAUUAUUAAAAUGACAGGAUAUAUUAAAGCACUGUAAAAAGUAAAGCUUAGUAGAUGCAUUAGAGGUUAUGAUUGGCAUUGCUAACAUUAUUAUUAUUAAAAUCCUUCAGUGCUGGGCACCACUUAUUUCUACCCUUAUAACCCCAUGGACCUGUACUGUAUCUUGUAAUAAAACCCUCAAUAAAUAUUUGAUACAUUGCUGAAUAAAAGGUAGGUUGACUUCUUAAAGUACCUGCAAAAUACCUCAUCCACAAGAGAAAAAGGCAAGAGAAUAACCUUGCUUCAUGAAGAAAGUAUCGAUCAUUCAGGCGUUAAAUUUUCCAUUUGUUCAUUUUUUUUUUUUUCCAGCAGAAACUCUUGGAGAAAUUGCAUAGCAUUAUUUUAAACAAUUCCCCUCAGAGGCCCAUUAGAUAGGCUUUUCUGCAGACAGGAUAGAUGUCUUUUACAGCUGGUCAGUGUUUAGUUCUCCCAAUACUUGACUGAAGAAAGAAAAUAACUGGGAUGUAAGAUAUCUGACCUAUAGAUUGCUCAUUCUCUGCAUGAGUCAAUCUUUGAAGUCGGAAGAUAAAAAUCACCAUUAAUCACAAAACUUUCUUACCAUCAUAAGGUCAGAUAUCCCAGGGCCCUUCCAAAAUUACCACGUGGACUGGCAUAGGGCGAGAUUGGCUCAGCUGUGGUCACUUUUAUGACACAGAGCUCCUUCCCUCUGGUUGAUGAUAUUGAAUGAGCAGGAAGGAAGAAAAGAAAUAAAAGUCAGCUAACCAUGGUUGAGUCAAUCCAGCCCACGGCAUUCAAAGGCUGAAGGGCCACCUGACACUCCAGAGGCUGCUGGAAAUGCAGGGCUGUUUCAUCCUGGGUAUUUUCCAGAGAGAAGUACUGAGAAGCUUAAAGUAUUUGAAUGGGAGGAGGAGAAGCAAACUACAGCUACUUCAGAGGAUAACACUAAACACCUAGUCCACUCUGUAUACACUAGAGGUGCUGUUAAUUUUCUUGUGGAGAAGGAACUGUCUUUAGAAAAAUAUCUCAAAAAGCCACUGAAGUAGAAAGUUUCAGCAUGCUGAAGAUGGAACUUGAGAAGAUAGAAAGUUCUGGGUCCUUAGUGGCAUGACUGAGUCGCUGGACCACUGUUGGAACCACCCUAUGUCUUAGUUUUUAAAUCUCUUUACUGUCUAAGACAUUUUUAGUGGAAGUAUUUAUCUCUGGCAUCCAAUAAGACCUUUAAGGAUUUGCAGUUUUAUCUAUGUGUUUGUUUAUUGUCUGCUCCACCCUACUUGAUUGUGAUCACCAUGACAUCAAUGACUGUGCAUCUUUUGUUCACUCAGGAAUAUCCAGUGCCUGCCACGCAGAGUGUGCUGCAUGUACAUGCUCACUUGAUAUCUGUUGUAGCAAAGAGUGAAAGAGAGAAGGAAUAAAUGCUUUCUCCCAUGAUGAGGGGACAUGGGGUCCAGACAAGCUGGACCAUUAUCCCAGGCCCAGCGCUCUGCUUUAUUUUUUUUUUUCCAGUACAGCAUCACAUUCAGUUACAACAGAGUGAAAUCUCCUAAGAACACGGCUGAUUAUUUCUUGAUUGCAAAAAGGACUCACUAACCCUCCGAUCUCCUGUAACGCAAGUCAAUGCUCUUCUAAUCUCCUUUUAGACAGCACCUGUACUUGUCAGUCAACGCAUGGUAGUCUGGGCUAGCCAAGUGAAUCCUUAACUAAACUGAAGUGGUGCUGAUCAUUCAGCCUUCAGAAUUGAAAAAAUCACAGCAUUGCUGAAGGAAAAGGCAUUUUUCAGGUAGAGAGGCAUAAGUCUUGGGCCAGGAAGCUUCAGUAAGAAGACAAUAAUUUCAUAGAAAUGCAUUAGCUUGGGGAGUCCAACUGCUGUUCUUGCACCUAAGAAAUUCAGAGGAGAGCUCUUUGCUUCCUUGCUCAUUCCAGUGGUUAGGAGUCAGGCCUUGUCCCAGAAUGUUCAGGUUGAUGCUUACCAUUUAAGCCUUAAGUUAAUCCGUUGAAGCUCCAGGCCUUUUAUGGGAUUCACAAGAAUAAACAGCAUUUAACUAUAGAUUCUCAAAGGUCAAAUCUUCAACCUAAAUCUGAGGAUUCAAAGCAUUGUUCACUCUAAUAAUUCUGCUAGUUCCCAACUUCACACAAACCAUUUAUUUCAGAAUGUAAACCUUGAAUAAUCUUUUCUUACUUGUAGUUUUGUGGUCAUUUAGAAAACAGCAAUACUCUAUUUUAAUUGGAACUAAGUGACAAAAAUAAGCCACUUCAUUAGUUUUCUAGAUAACGGUAAAAUGUAAGAACAAAAAGCCACUUCUUUUUCCACGUGGUAUUUUACAGUGACUUUUUUUUUUCUUUUUACUGCAUUUUAAAAUUCUACUGGAGGCAUUUCUCGGAAACUUUCUCUUACUUGUUAAUGAAUCAUCCCCUUUGAGAAUCAGCAGGUGAUUUCAGGAGCCCAGGUGUGAAUAAUUGAUUUAAGGUCGACCUUGUGGGUGGAGCCAAUGUUUACCAAGUGCAUUCAUUCGACAAACAAUUGAUGAACACCAAAUUAGAGUUCAAUUCCAGAUAACAAAAACCAGUUGAACUAAUUUCAUCAGAAAGCUACUUAAUAGGGGUAAUUAGGUGCUUACAAAAUAGAAGGGCUGGAAGCCCAGGAUCUAGGCUGACACCCAUGUAGCUAGACCCUGGAAACUGGGAUUCCAGCUGCACAGAACAGCCAAGUGUGUUCAUGACUGUGCUUGUUUGUCAGCAGGAGCAUGGCCCUGCCUUGUGAUACUGUGUUUUUCAGCUCUCACGUGGCUGAGUCUGUUUGGAGAAGUUGGUUCAAGAUGCAGCUUGACUCUCAGGGAGUCUGAAUAACUACCCUUAAUAUUGUUAGCUUUCUGGUCUCCAGCACACAGUAUGAUUUUCUGGAAGAAGGAUUUAAUGUAGUUAAAUAUGCCAACGUGUAAUAUCUGAUGUACAUUUCUACCCUGCUUGGGAUACAAAAUAAAUAAAAGCCAGUUUCUGUCUGUAAGGAGUGUACAGUUUAGUAAGAAGACAGACUCCUGAACAAAGAUGUAUACUUCAAUGUUGCCAGCCCAGGAUUAGAGAUGGGUAUUAAGAGGACCUCUGAUGAGUGAUAUUUUGCAUCUGGUGCAGGACAGUUCCCUAGGUGGCCUUGGACCAAACCAGUCCUCCCGCUUUCUCACUUGUAGUUUUAAGAAUAACUAGAAUGUGCUGGGAAUGCAACAUCCCGAGAUAAGGCCUAGGCUCUGUUCCAGUCCCCGCUAGAAACAGGAUGUCCUUCAGCACAUUAAUCCAGCAGGUCAUGUUAUCCCUGGAGUAGAAAACCCAGAGACGGCUACUUUCCAGGGUCCUGCAUCUGGGGUGCAAGUGAGGCACACGCAGAUGAGACUCCACCUGCCCUGGGCAGCUUUCCUGAGCCUUGAGAAACCAGCUCACCAUGAAUCCAAGGUGUCUGCUGUUCCUUGCCACCAUUUCAUGGAACCUGUUGUAUGUACCUAUUCAUGUUUUCCAUGUUUCAAAUAUGACUGAACCUGACAUAUAUAAGAACGCAAAAGAUUCUUCAAAAUCAAACUGUGUCCGGAAUUGGUGGGUUCUUGGUCUCACUGACUUCAAGAAUGAAGCCACGGACCCUGGCGGUGAGUGUUACAGCUCUUAAGGUGGCGUUUCUGGAGUCUGUCCCUUCUGAUGUUCAGAUGUGUUCGGAGUUUCUUCCUUCUGGUGGGUUCGUGGUCUCGCUGGCUCAGGAGUGAAGCUGCAGAUCUUCACGGUUGCUAGUAACACAAUAAUAAAGCUGCUUUAUUUUCCAGUGAAGAUGUAUGUGAUAGGGAGUGGAGGAAGAAAAAGGCCAGAAAAUUCCAUAGUUAGCAAAUAUACCUUUCUUACUUAAAAUUCUUUUUCCAAUGUGAGCCUUCUAAAGAGUUACUGAGAAAUUAGGUGAGCUCACCUCAUUUAAUGCAAUAGAUAUGUUUCUGAAAAAUAAGCAAUACAUAGGACAUUGGCCAAUUAAGAAUUCUGAUGAAGAAGAAUUUUCACAUCCGAAAGAGUAAAAAUGAAAAACGGUACAAAUGUAGUGGCUUUUAAAUUUCAAAACAAAUUAUUUUGAUAAGAUAAAUAUUCCUCUCAUAAAGUGAAAAUGGAAGAGACUGCUUGCUGGGUGUUCGUCAAAAUGGAGUUAGAUGGUCUGUCCCAGACUCCCCUGUUGUUAGUUCUGAGAACAGAAGUAAUGGUGCUUCUUCAGGACUGGCUCAUAGAAACCUGCCGUGUUCAGCCCCCACAAUCCUCUCCCUUCUGCUGGCUGGAAACAAAUGACAACGAAGCCUCACGUCUUGGAGAAACCACACUGCUGAGGAACUCAAGUCCUAGAAGAACCAUUUGAAGAGACCCAUCUCACUAAAGAAAAUCACACAAGCAAGAAGUAAACUUCAUUGUAUCUAUGUAUUUAAUUGUCAUAACAGUCUACCUUAACUGAUACAGCAAAAAUUCGCUCCUUUUCUGGACACCCAGUUUCAAAAUCUCAGUGUCAUUUUUUACUUCUCUCUUUUCAGGUUGUUUAAUAUAAUAAAAUUUGUGUGUGUGUGUGUGUGUGUGUGACAAGGUCUUGCUCUGUUGCCCAGGCUGGAGUGCAAUGGCACGCUCCCAGCCCACUACAGCCUUGACCUCCAAGCUCAAGUGUUCCUCCCACCUCAGCCUCCAGAGUAACUGGGACUACAGGCAUGGGCCACCACACCCGGCUAAUUUUUGUACUUUUUGUAGAGACAGGGUUUCACCAUGUUGCCCAGGCUGGUCUUGAACCCCUGGGCUCAAGCGAUCUGCCCAUCUCCACCUCCCAAAAUUCUAGGAUUACAGGCGUGAGCCACUACACCCAACCAUUUUAUUUUUAAAAGUUUUCUUUGCAAUAUUGCUCACAUUGUUUCCUUCCUUUUUAUUCUUAUUGUCACUCCCAAGUUCAGGCUUUUACCUCUUUUAUUUGAAGUAUUAAAGUAUACUUCUAAGUCAUUUCUGUGGCUUAAAUUUAUUUAAUCCACUCCAUCCUGCAUCCUACCAACACAAUAACAUUGUUUCAUCAUUUCAAAUUGAAAUCGAAACUCUCCAAAGCUUUCCUACUGCUGAAUGGAUAAAAACACAAAAUCCUCAAUAGAGAAUUCACUUUCUGGAGCCAACUUACCUUUCCAAAUAUUUCCCAUUAUUCCCUAAGAGAAUCCUCCUGACAUACUCACUGUUUUUCAUAUACACUAGACCUUUUCUCAACCACCUAUUUGUCCACACAUUUUUCUUCCAGCUAGAAUAUUAUUUUCCCUUUCUCACUUCUGAAAGUCUUACCUGUCAUUCAUGGUUCAUCUCAAGCUCAAUCUUCUCCUUGAAACCUUUAAGCAUACCCUCCUGGAAAGUUAUCUCCCUCACCUCGAACCACCCCCCCAGCCCCUGCCAGAAUCUCCUAUAGGGCUGAUUGUUUAUCCUGCUUAUUAUAUAUUUAUAAAACACUCCACUGAGUUAUUAAUUACCUUUUCCUUGACUGUGAAAACAUGACUCUGGCUUCAAGGUAGGACCAUUUUUUCUCUAACACUGUGUCUCAUACACUUCAGCACAAGCUCUUAGUGGCCUGUGCAUUCAACUCCCAUGCAUAGCCACUUCCUCCAGGCAAACCCCACAGCCAGCAUCCAAAUUUUAAAAGGGGUUCUGUCAUCAACCCAAAGUUUCUUCUCUCUCAAGGAACCUAGAUUUAGAAGUUGAGUCUAGGCCACCUGUCUAAGAUACAGUAGUUAAUUUAACAUAUUUUAUUGCUCUCAACAUCACAGAGAAAGAGCCUUACUGCAGAUCUCAUUCUUUCCUUCAAAGCCAGUUUGCCCAUUCCUCUUCAGAAACCUUUAAGAGUGGUUAUUGGGAGAGAUGAUAAGACUCCAUCUGCUUAAGGAGUCCCUCUAACCCAGAAUAGUAGAUGUAAACACCUGACAUGUUGUUAUAGAGUGAAUGUUUGUGUUCCCCUCCAAUCCAUAUGUUGAAAUUCCAAGCCCCAAUGUGUUCGCAUUGGGAGGUGAGGCCUUUGGGAGGUAAAUAGAUCAUGAAGGUGAAGUCUUCAUGAAUGGAUUAGUGUCCUUAUAAAAGAGACCCCAGAGAGCUCUCUCAUCCUGUUUCUGCCAUGUGAGGACACAGCAAGAAGUUGGUCAUCUGCAACCUGAAGUGGCUCCUCCCCAGAAACUGAAUCUGCUGGGGUCUUAAUGGUGGGCUUCCCAGCCUCCAGAAUUAUGAGUGUAAAUGUUUGUUGUUUAAGCUACCCAGUCUAGGGUAGUUUGCUAUACUACCCCAAACUGACUAAGAUACAUAUGUUUGUCAUCCACUCAGUUGUUUUCCUAAAAUAAAUGAAGUCAGCUCCAAAGAUGAAUUUUCAUCUCUUUUUGUAGAGAUGGGUGCUAUUAUGCUUUUUAAUGAACGUUUAUUCACAAAUAAAAACAAAACAUACCUCUCACAUCCUCAGAGCAAAUACUUACAGUAACAUACAUUGAUGCUCACAAGCUCAUUACAUUUCAUGUUUACUAUUCAUUGAUAACAUUACAUUUAUUAUUAUCACAUAAACCAUACCUCCUGUUUAUGAAGCACUUAUGGUGUUUUAGUCAAUGUUAUGGUACCUGCUAUAUAUGGUCUCUAAUUUUAUUUUAACUUCCUAUAGUAAACAAUAUUAGGUGCUAACUCAAUAGUCAUUUUCUAACCUGAUUUUUCCUUGCAAACAGAACCCCAAAUUUGUUUGGAGAGAAAUGUGUCCAAAUCCAAACAAAGCAUCACCAUUUCUUUGAACCAUCAUAAGGAUCUAAUCAUUUUUUUUGUUUUCCUAGCCUCCCUCUAGCCAGAGAUACUGGGUAACACAGUUCUGGCUGAGAAGACAAGAGAAGAAAUCUGCUAAGCAUUUCUGGAAAAAGUUUUGAUUUGCUGAUGAAAGGGAACAGACAUACUGGUUGCCUUCCUUUUCCCUUUCAGCUGCCUAGUCGCCAUUUUGCAAUGUGAAACAACAUCAUUAAGGAAAGAUCAAAACAAUUGCAGAGAUGUCAACCAUCAUGCCUUUGAAUUCAUGCUCACAGUUGUCUGCCUCCAGAUUCAGUUAUAUUUGAGGUACUCUUUGAGUUAAGAUCCUUCUCAUUUUAUACCACUUGCAGCUGAACACACUCCCCACUAAUUUACCUUGUAAGGUGAAUUUCACUUAAAGGAAGAACACAUAAGUCAGGGAAUGACACAUAAUAGUAAAUGCAGGGUUUUUUUUUCUAUUUAUGAUAUAGAUUUAUACAACUGCUAUGUUCUUGACAUUGUACCAAUUUCAAGGUACAAAUAAGACAUAAUCCCUAAAAGCAUGGGUUACAAAAUCUGGGUUCAGCAUAGGGUUUCAUGAUAAACAAACAAACACAAAUUGUUUUUUAUUGUAUUUCCUUCUUCUUCACAUCUUGUGAAUCUAAGAAAAAUAUCAGAAUGUUCGUUUCAGCUCAAUUUUUGAAGAGUACAAUCUCUAAGUAAAAAGAAACUGUAAAUGUUUAUAAAUGUAACUAGAGCCUAGUAGAAAAUAAAGCCAUGCAAGUGUGUUUAGGUCCUAAUCUUAUUAACCAGAUUAGUGACACACAGUCUGCCCAAAGUUAAUGAAAGCAGUGAGGUUCUUUGACUUCAGUAGAUACACACCUGAACCACAGAGAUAAACUUGCUUCAAACCUGUGCGAUAUGUUUUUCUAAGCAUAAAAUUGAGCAUGAUAGCUCCAAUUUCAGUCUCAGUUUCAAAGCUUCCCUUUCCCGAAUAAGAGGCAAACUGUCACAUUAAAUUUAGCGAAUUAAAAUCAGUUAACUUGAAAAGCUCUUGGCCCCAAUGCAGAGAAAAUUGUUUGCAUAAUAAUAACUUAUUUCCUUUUUUAAAAGGCGGACUUCUGCCUGAAUGCUUCUAUAAACUUUUAAGAAAAUGGGAUUCUCAAAUCUCAAGCGUAUUGGGUUGCAGUUGGCACUUGAAGCUGGGGACAUGCAGAGCUGGCUAAUGUCAGCAGCUGUAGGACUGUCAAGAAAAAUAGGUGGAAGGGACACUUUUAUUAUAAGUAGACUUGCAAGGCAUUCCAACUUUCAGCUGCUCAACCCAGUAUACCAAACACCUCUGACUACCUCAAGUGUGGCCUUGCUGAGUGCUUCCAUAUUUAGGGGUUAUUAGACAGGACUGAAGCAAGUGACCUCUAAUGAGGAAGCAAUCAGGGCAGGCUCUGACCCUCCUCAGAGGUACUGUAAUGAACUGGCCUUGGAAGGUCUUUGAUGCUGCCUUUGCAUACUGUAUAUGAGCUUUCUGCUCAGUCAUUUCCUCUGCGCUCUGGUAGCACAGCAUGAAGCCUGCUAUUAGAAAAAAGGUUUAUUGCUACCUUGCAAACAUUUAUUGGGUAAUAUCUAAAACAUGGUGUCAAGUUAUAGUAAUGCGCUGUUCUGGGAAACUUUUUGAGAAUUUUAGUGUUUCAGAAGAUGGUCCUUUGAGAAUUCUUCUGUUUCAGAAAUGAAAAGUGGUAGAUAUAUACGUGUGUGUGUAUAAUAUGCUCAUGUAUCCUCUGAUUACUUGCCAGAGAUGUACCAUUUUUCUUUCAAGGGAAACAUCUAUUCCUAAGAUAGAUUAUUCUUGAAAUUUUCAAAGAGUAUGCCUCAGAGAACAAAUAUACAAAUUUACCAUUUGUCUGCAGAUAUUAUUUGCCUGUGUUUAUGCUAGGUCACUGACACCACACACAUUUUAAUCCCCAAGGGAAUUUAUUUGGUGGUGUUAUCUACUCAACCAAGCUGAAGCUUAUCUAGUUCACAAGAAAAUAGUCAAUAUGAGCUCCAUGCAGACUUAUGCUGUUAAUGCAGAAGAGGGAAAGAGAAUUUACCUUUAACUGUUAUGAUGAAAAUGUGUACAAUGACACUUAACUAUGGCAUGCAAAUCCUCUUUUCCUCCCCCACAGGUAUCUGGAAAGUACCUUAUACAGCUAGGUGCUUAGAAAAUGUUUAUUGAUUAAAUAGAUGAUGAUUAACAGAUUAAUAAAAGGUGAAAGUUACUAUCUAUGCAUUUUUUUCCAGUUUGAUGUUCAAAAACUUACCAAUGGAUGGGGAGUUGCUUUUCAUAAACAAUUUAUAAAGCACUGUCCUGGAUGAAAUUGUAAAAAGGACGUGGUGUCAAAGAUGACUCAGUGGAGUUGAGGUGAAAAAUGUGUAAUGAGCAAAUCAUGGUAAUUGGGAUAUCCAUCACCUCAAACCCUUAUCAUGUCUUUGUGUUGAGGACAUUUCAAAUCUUCCCUUCCAGCUAUUUUGAAAUAUACAACAAAUUAUUGUUAAGUGUAGCCACCCUAGUGUGCUACUGUACACUAGGACUUACUUAUUCCUUCUAUCUAACUGUAUUUUUGAACCCAUGAACCAACAUCUCUUUGAUUUCCAGCCUGGGCUUUGGUGUCCCUUUUUUUGUGUGUUUUCAUAGGGCCCUAUAUUUAUAUUAUUUGGGCUCAACACAUUGCAAAACUGCAGAGGAGUUUACUAUUAUGCACAUUAUUAUUCUAUAUUCUGUCACUCUAAGAAACAAUAAGUGACCAUCUGAAGAGACCAUCUUCUAGCACCAAAAUAUUUAAAGAUGAUUAAGAAUAAGACAAGGGUCUCCUUAUUUACAAAAUGACAUAAUUGAAAGGACUAGAUUAUUAGCAACCCCUCUGGAAAAGGAUUACUCUUUUGGAUUUUAAUUACAUAACUAAUAUAUCAACUGAAGUGCUAUGCCCUGACGUGUGCUCCCCUCAGCUUCACGAUCCAUAUGUUGAAACCCAACCCCUUAAUGUGAUGGCAUUUGGAGAUGGGGCUUUGGAGAUAUUAGUUAGGUUUAGAUAAGGUCAUGAGAAUGGGGCUCUUAUGAUGAGAUGAGCACCUUCAUAAAAAGAGACACGAGGUAUUUCUCUUUUCUCUCUUCUCUCUCUCCCUCUUUCCCUCCCUCCCUCUCUCCUCCUUCUCUGUCUUCCUCCUUUAUGUGAGGACAUAGCCAGAAGGCAGCUGUGUCUGCAAGCCAGGAAGAAAGCCCUCACCAGGAAUCAACUAUAUCAGCACCUUGAUCUUGAACUUCUAUCCUUAGAACAGAGAGAAAAUGAAUUUCUAUUCUUGAAGCCACCCAGCCUACGGUAUUUUGUUAUGGCAGUCAAGCUGAAUAAGAUAUAUAUCUACACUGAGACCAUUAAAAGUAGUUCCUGAUUGGCAGAAAGGUUGUAUAUAUAAAUGGCUCAUUGAAAGUUCUCACUGCAUGGAUGAGAAAUCUCAGAUUGAGGUUCUUAAAUUUUGAAAAAUAGAAAUAAAGGAAUUAACGCAACAGUCUUCUAAUCUUUCUGCCUUCAGUUUUUGCUCCCUUUGACUAUUCUCUGUACACUGCAUCCAGAGGUUAUAUUUUGACAGGGAAAUUCAAAUGAUGUAUAUUAUUUUUCUACUCAAAAUCUCCCCACUGGCACCCUAUUGUCCUAAAGCAUAAACUGCUAUUGCAGUCAAUUCACCUGAAAUAAGCUCUCUUCCUGCCGCGUCUUUUACAUAGAUUGUUUACUCCUCUUGUGAUCCCAGUUCCCUGCUUCUCCCUCUCCUCCACACUUUUCAAUAAUUAAAUUAUACUCAGCGUUCAGAAUUCAGUCAGGAUAUCCUACCUUCUUUGGUCAGCCCCCCAGGGUUUUCUGAAAGCUGGGAAGAGGCCCUCUUCUGCAAUCCCCAUGCACUGUAGACACAUCCCCUUUAGGUCCCUAUGUUGUGAGUGACUGUUUUCUUGUCUGUCUCUGCCACUAUAUUAUGCACUCUUAGAAGGCAAGGACUACUUCUCUUCAUUGUAUACCUAGAACUUAACCCAAAAACUGGCAUGUGCAUGCACCCAAGUUUUCACUGAGAAAAUAAUUGCAUGAGUCACUUGCUUUCCAGGUCUUUCUGACUACUAUGAUGGUGAUGACUUGUAGUCACAACAUGAAAUUGGUUUCUGCCCCUGAGGAUUGUAUCUCUCUACUUUGCAUGACCCCUAGAUUUCAAUCCCUCUUUAUUCUCUCCUGAUCCUUGGGUUCCAGUAAUUCUCUGGGUUUCAAAUAUAAGCACAGUGUGAGGAGCUCUUCAUUCUUGACAGAACUUUCAGGCAAGAAAGAAAUAGAUUCCUGGGAAUAUCUAUAUUCCCUCUGGCCCUAUUCCUUACUCCCAAAACAUAAUAACCCUUUUCUUAGGUUUUUUCUCUCUACCUUUUUACUUCUUCCUUAUUCUCACGAUUACAUGAAUUAACUGCCUACAGAGUAUGAAUUCAGACUGAAUUAAUAUGUAUUUAUGUGACAUAAAAGAUCUCUUUCAGUACUUCUUAAUCUUACCAAAUGAUGCAUACUAUACAAUAAAAAAUUGCAAUUUUUUCAUUAGCUUUUUUUUUUUUUUUUGGUUUCUGGUAGGGUUUUCCUUUAGUGGUAUUUUAGCAAGUAAUACAAUCCAGUUAUUUUUAAAAGUAUAUUAGUAGAAACUCACCAGAAGUCAAUAUACUGGUCCAAGAAUAAUUAACUGAUUGACUUUAUUGUUUAUGAAACUUUGUAAUGUUCCUUUUGAUGUGAAUGCUUAUCUUAGGGGGAAAUGCACUUUUCAAAUAUAAAUGAUCAUGUUUAAACAAACUGCUUCUAGUUUCAAAUAUGGCACUGAAAAACAAAAUAAAAUAAACACUCAAUUUUUAUUUAAAAUGGUGGGCAAUUUACUUUCUUUUUUGUUUGGGAUCUGAUUCAAGAGCCUCAAUUCAGCUUAUUGCAGAACUAACUAAACUAAACCUCAAAGGAAAAAUUUUAAAAAUGAUUUUUAUAGCAAUGACAUCAUUAUAUAAAAUGUUGGCAUUUCAUAUUUUCCAAACAGAAACUUGGAAAUAACAGAAUACAAGUUAAAUAAAACAAAUUGAAACUAAUCCAAUUCUCUGUUUUUCUUUCCCUUUUUAAAAACCAAGCUUUUUAUUGCCAGCUUUUACUUUGCAUAAUAAUAUAUGAUGAAUUGUCCAAGAAAGACCCAGUGGGUACAUUUCUCUUAGAAAUAAGCCUCUCUAUGCAAUAGGAGGCCAAGUUCUAGGGCAACAUACUUAUAUAAUCAUGUAAGAUUUUCCUUAUUGCUAACAAUUGACCAACCUGGGCAUUUGUCAAAUAUGUAAACACAUGGAGGUCACUGGUCACCAGAGGAUUGAAAACACAAAUCACUCUAUUCAUAUCCAUCCCUAGUUCUAGAAAAACAAUACCAAAUUAAAGCAUAUAUCCUACUAGCAAUAGGACUAGCAAAAUUAUUUUGGUAUACCAGAGCUACAUGUUAUACAUUUUGCUACUUAUGGAUUUAAUUACUCAGGAUAAUUAUACACAUGGCUACAACUGUAAACUUUAUAAUAUUUUGCUGGCAUACCUUCCAAAAGAGUUUGAAAAGCUAUGAAUUUAAUUCUAUAUUUGCAUUUGACAUAUAAAGUAC